AAAAAAAAGGAAGAAAAAAAAAAAGGAAAGAAAGCAGAAGGAGAAAAAAACACAACAGGAAAAAAACAAAACAAAAAAAAAAACACGAAAGCAGAAGGAAAGUGUUGGGGCCACACCUGCCCACGCCAGCCGUCGAGGAUCUCAGGCUCCGCCUCUCCGGUCCCACACUUGACCUUGCUCACCAGCCCAAAGGGAGAGAGAGAGGCGAGAAAGCUGGAAAGUGUGGUAUCGACCUUCCGGGGACUUCACUGACAUGUAGUGACUUUCUGACUUUGGUAACCUGACUUUCUUUACGAGGAGAUUUUUAUAUUAAAGUAAAACGACUUCCCUGCUCUAAGUAUGUUAGAGUUGUCUCCUAGCCUGCAUGACCUUGUGUAAGGCACUGUCUCCUUUCAGGGUCUGGGUUCCACGUCUGUCAGCUGUGUGUGUGUGCAUCCGGUGUCUCUCUGGCGCAUUGACUCUAAGCGAUGUACCACAAUUCUGUGCGUCGGUGUGAGAG